CUGCCUGGGGCCGAGUGGUCAGGAAGGGCAUGCCCUUGGGAGAAGGGGGAGAUGGGAUUGUCACCCCCAUUUCACAGAUGAGGGGACUGAGCUCUGCUGCUGGGCCUUCCUCCGGAUGGGGGAAAACAAACCUGAAGCCCAAAGAACUUGGAGCACAUCCCUCGGCAGGCCAAUUCCCAAACCAGGCGCACGGAGGCUGUUUCUGUCCAGCCAGGGCUGGAGGGGCUCUGAGCCACAGGCGGGGCCACUACAGAGGCCCCAGGCGUGUCUGUCCCUGUGUCCCCUGUGUUUCUGCCUUCCUGCCUUGGCCUCUGCCAGUCUCUGGCUCUACGUUUGUCUCCGUGUCUGUGACUCCGCGCCUGUCUCCUUCGUCCAUCCCCUCCUCCUGCAUCCUGGUCCCUUCCACAUCCUUCUCUCUGCACCUCCAUCCUCUUCAUCCUCAUUCUCUGGGACUUGGGGGUGUGAUCGGCAGGGGCGUGGUCUGGAGGGGGCGGGACCCAGAGGGGUGUGGUUUGAGGAGCAGGGUCUUCCCAGCCACCGCCUCCAGGACGCUCUCUGGCUGUCCCCUGGCGGCCACCUUUCCAGUCUUGCCCAACCCGAGACUUCUGCACUUGCCUCAUGCGCCCAGGAAUGAGGUGCUGCCCAGUCCCGCCCUGCGUCUGUCCUUCCUGCCUCCACGCCAGGAGGGACCCCCUGACCCCCAGUUCCCGCGCCGGUCCCGUCGGUCGGUUUCCAGGGGACUGGCUGUUACGACCCCGUGGAACAGCUCUGGGGGCACCCGGGGCAUACUACGGGGAAAGGUGAGGGCCAAGCCGGGAUCCCCAUUUCCUGCACCCACCCAAGCGGCCGGCUGUUCAGAACAGACACAGUAACACAGAAGAUGCAGACACUCACCCGCGGGGCGGGUAAGGUUGGCGGGGGGUGGGGGGCACGGCUGGGGCAGGAGGGCUGGACCUGAGCAUUCCCGCGCGGUGGGGACACCACGGGAGCCCCUGCGCAAGCAACAGUUUUACAGCCUUUUCAUUAC
rnacentral:lncRNA from 1 species